UUGGAUCUGAGGAAAGAUUGUCUCAAGCCUCAGGAGAAGCAUGUGUCAUACAGUUAUCACUGGGACUUUUCACUGGUGACCAUUUCUCUCCUGUCUGGCACAUGAAGACUGAACCCCUUGUGUUGGAUGAGCCUGUAUAAUAGAUCUGGU
rnacentral:lncRNA from 1 species